GCGGUUGGAUCACCUCCUUA
rnacentral:ncRNA from 5 species